CCCGUCACAUCAUGAAAGCCGUUUGUAUCCGAAGUCAGCAGGCUAACCCGCAAGGGGAGCAGUUGCCGAAGGUAUGGAUGGUGAUUGGGAUG
rnacentral:rRNA from 1 species